rnacentral:rRNA from 1 species
UACGUAGGGGGCAAGCGUUGUCCGGAAUCAUUGGGCGUAAAGCGCGUGUAGGCGGCUCGAUAAGUCUGCUGUGAAAGUUCAGGGCUCAACCCUGAAAUGCCGGUGGAAACUGUCGAGCUAGAGUCCGGAAGAGGCGAGUGGAAUUCCUGGUAUAGCGGUGAAAUGCGCAGAUAUCAGGAGGAACACCAAUGGCGAAGGCAGCUCGCUGGGACGGUACUGACGCUGAGACGCGAAAGCGUGGGGAGCAAACAGG